GUAUGCCACUUUUUCCAAAUUUAAUAGCACAUGGUAAAGUCCUAUCUUGUGAUCAAGGUUCACAAAGCAUAUACAGAGGCAUAAAGUCAUGCAGACAAAGACUGAAUAUUGUUAGUAAAGUGCAUAAACUCUCAAGUAUUUGGAUUAAUUAGAGUUGAAGAUGUAAGGGGUGGAGGGAAAAAGGAAAUCUUUGUUAGUAUUAAUGAUAAGUCGCCAUGAUGAUUACCAUUGUUAUUGCUAAAUUUGUUGAUCUCCUAUGUUUAACUCAUACCUCAAGUAUGUAAUUAAAUGGUUUAAUUUCAUACUUUUUCGUAUUGUUGUGCAUACGUAGGAUUUUGUUUCUCUGCAGGGAGUUAGAUGAGUGGUUUAUAGACACCUAGUUGCAUCUCUUAUUUUCCUCUACAUGUAUGCACAUUUUUUGACAUCGGUUGGCAAUUCAUGUGUAUUUAUCUUUAUUUUAACAUACUUCUAACUUUUAACUAUGACCAGUGCUUCUUGAAUUAUCUUUGAAGGUUUGGAAUCUUCAACCCAGCAGUCGUGUAUGAUCACCUGGGAGAAAUUUAUUCAGCACUUAUUCUGGGAAGCUUAGUGUUCUGCAUUUUGUUAUACUUGAAAGGUCAUUUGGCACCAUCUUCUUUGGAUUCUGGUUCAUUAGGGAACUUCAUAAUUGAUUUUUAUUGGGGCAUGGAACUGUAUCCUCGUAUCGGCAAAAACUUUGACAUCAAGGUUUUUACAAACUGCCGAUUUGGUAUGAUGUCCUGGGCUGUUCUUGCCGUCACAUAUUGCAUCAAACAGG